rnacentral:lncRNA from 1 species
UUUUGUUUUUUCUCCUACUUCUAGGUCACAUUUUUCUUCUUUGCAUGCAUUUUUAAAAAUUUCGUACCAGAGAUUGUGAAUGUUACAUUGUUGAGAGUCUGGAUUUUUUUUUUUCCCCUUUAAAUAGUGUUGAAUUUUGUUUUGCCUUCCUGUUAAAAUUACUUUCAGGCAAUUUGGGGAAAUGCGGAAGCCUUGGUGAGUGGGAAUCCAGCUGUUGGACCCAUAAAAGCCUCCAUUCCUGCCACCAAGGCUACUUUGUUUAUGUGCCCACUGUGUCUGCUCUGGAGUUGUCAACGCCAGAGGCCGACUGUUAUCAACCAGCUGAGUCAUUUUGUUUACUUGGUUGCCUCUUCUGUAGUGGAGUCUCUCUGAUAUGCAUUAACAUGUUGUUAUGGACUGAAUUGUGUUCCCCCAAAAUUCAUAUGUUGGAGCCCUAACCUGCACUACCACAGAAUGUGACUAUUUGGAGAUACGGGCUUUAAAGUGGUGAUUAAGGUUACAACGAGGCUGUUAGGGUGGGCCCUAAUCCAAGCUGACUGGCAUCCUUAUAAGAAGAGGAAAUUCGGACACACAGACACCAGAGAUGUGUACACACAGAGGAAAGGCCACAUGAGGACCUACCAAGAAGGCGGCCAUCUACAAGCCAAGGAGAGAGGAAACCAAACAUUGAGAAACCUUGAUCUUGGACUUCCAGCCCC